AUUUUAAAUCACAAUUGCAAAUCAAGAUCUCUUAUAAUCACUUUUCUGUAUUUUUACUGGGUUUAGCCAUCUUUCCCAUACCUGACAGUGGAAAUAAUUGUCUAAAACCACCAAACCAUAGAGAUGGAGAGAAGGUCUCAGGUGUUCAAAUAAGGACCAGAUCCAGGCCUGGCAAGAAACUGACUGGAACAGAUACUCAUGGCUGGAUUCCUGUGUCUGUCUCCAUCCUGGAGUUAAGCUUUGCCAGAGCCAGAAUGAAAGCCAGAGGUAAGUGCUCAACUGUGUUCUUCCAGGCUUUACCAGAACGGGGCCUGUUGAAGAGCUAAUUGGAGGGAAUCAAAGGUAACAAACUUCUGUAAGAAAAAAACUCAAAAGUAGACAGGAAUGAUGGAUUGUCACACAUACCCAGAGAUAUUUGAGAGACCAGCUGAGUUAGUGUAGGCGAGAACACAUUUCCUCUCUCCCUUUUCCUUGCCCAAUAAUGAGCAUUCUGACAUGGAAGUAGCAGAGAGCAGAAUUACUUAUUGACCUUCUCUUUGAAACUUGAUUUUUUUUGUUUUGUUUUUUGUUUUUCUAAAUCACAUCAGAUCUCAAUGUCAUAAAGUAUUCCAGUUAGAUACUUCUUACUCUUAUUUUUUUUGUCAGGAAAAAAAAAGUAAGUUGAUUCAAUAGUGCCCUAUACAAUCUUGUAUACAAAUGAUUCUAUGUUUCAAUCUUAGGCACAACCAGGCUGUUUUGUGUGUGUGUGUGUGUGUAUUUGCUUAUUUUUCUUUGUUUUUAAAGGAUUACUUACAUGUGAAAGACCACUUCCUAUGUCCUAGCAUUUCUUACAUCUUUCUG
rnacentral:lncRNA from 1 species